UAUUAGCGCACAAAAUUUUGGGCAAAAACAACAAAAAUCCCUUCGACCUCUUCUUUCUCAGAUUCACUCAAUUGACUCAUAUUCCUCUUCUUCCUCCAAGUCACUCAGUCAGUGUUCUUCUUCCUCCGAUAUUCCUCGCCGGUUCAGAUUCACGUAUUAUUUCCACUCGAUUAGAAAGAACGAAGAAAACCUAAUCUCCGUCAAACUCAACCUUCCUCAGCUCACUACCGUUACCUUUCUCUUCUCUGGUAUCUUGUGGACUAAGAAGAAGACCUCAGUGUCCAGUUACUGGAAAAAAUAUCCAAGGGGUUAAUUAUGGUUUCUACUAAUGAUGAAAGUGGUUCGUCUAGUACGAAAACAGUUGGUAAACGUGGUGUGACCUGGUUGCAAAAAAUUCACAAAUCCAAAAGCAACGGAAAGAGGAUUGAGGUUCAAUGGAAUGCAAGAGGUCAACCAAUCAAGCAUAAUAGCAAGAGUUUUGCUAGUUAUAUUGGUGUCACAGUUCGUCGCUUAGUUCCAAUUAGUUUGGACAAUUGGAGUGCGAAAAAAAAUAAAGAGGCUAUAGGGGUUUAUAAACAAAACAUUUGGAUGAAAUCGAAAAAGCUUUUGUAAUUGGCGAAGAACAUCGUGCAUUUAUAUAUAAAGAAGCUGGAAAGUUGCACAGGGCAUUCAGGACAAAAAUGACAAAGUUCUAUCUAAGAGAUAGUAAGGGUGGUUUUGUUAAACAUCGAUCGGCAAAAUAUUCUUACUGUAUAAAACAAGAGGACUGGGAUAAAUUUGUAGCUCAGCGUAUGACUACAAAGUUUCAGAAAGUUAGUAGUGAAAAUCGAGAAAGAGCGUUAAAUCCUCAACAUCCUUAUAGAAAGUCACAUUUAGGGUGUGCUCGUCUUGAAGCUGAUAUGGUAGAAGAGUCAGGAGUUGAUGAGAUAAAUCGCAGUCAAGUGUGGAAGUUUAUUUCAUUUUGUUAGUGUGUUGCAAAUUUAUCGUGCUAAUAGUAAUUCUAAAGUGGCUAAAGUCUCCAAGUCAAAGAAAAUUUCAUGGUCAAAAAUUCGGUGUCCCCGUCAAAUUAAUAGCAUUGACUGUGGAUAUUUUGUAAUGCGAUUUAUGAAAGAGGUCAUCGUGGAAAAUGAAAUUAUGAUCCCCGUAAAUUACUUUCCUGACCACAAAUGUCGUACCUACUCUAUGGAUAAGUUAACCGAGAUCAAGGAGGAUUGGGCUACCUAUAUGGUGGAUGAUAUUUUUGAAAAACAAGAAGCAAAUAUUUUGCCUAGCUAGCUAGCAAAGUGAUUAUAUAUCUGGGUUUGGCAGUGCUUUGGUUCGCGAAGUGGUUACUUGAUGUCGUUUUGUAGUCCUUUCUUGUUUUGUUAGAUGUUUUCUUUAGUUUAGAUAAUAUGCCUAACGAAGUGAUUUUACUUUUGUUUGGAAUUUGGUUUGAUGUACUCUUAGUUGGACCAAAUUAAUUACUUAUGGCAAAAGUUCUAUCUUAAUUUCAUUGAGAUCAAUGUUGAAUAUGGUAAUUUGUUAAUUUGUUUAUUAUCAUUCACUA